CCUACGUGGUGCAGCAGUCGAGAAUCAUUCACAAUGGGGGAAACCCUGAUGGUGCGACGCCGCGUGGGGGAAUGAAGGUCUUCGGAUUGUAAACCCCUGUCAUGUGGGAGCAAAUUAAAACGAUCGUACCACACGAUGAAGAGACGGCUAACUCUGUGCCAGCAGCCGCGGUAAUACAGAGGUCUCAAGCGUUGUUCGGAAUCACUGGGCGUAAGGCGUGCGUAGGCUGUUUCGUAAGUCGUGUGUGAAAGGCGCGGACUCAACCCGCGGACGGCACAUGAUACUGCGAGACUAGAGUAAUGGAGGGGGAACCGGAAUUCUCGGUGUAGCAGUGAAAUGCGUAGAUAUCGAGAGGAACACUCGUGGCGAAGGCGGGUUCCUGGACAUUAACUGACGCUGAGGCACGAAGGCCAGGGGAGCGAAAGGGAUUAGAGACCCCUGUAGUC
rnacentral:rRNA from 1 species